rnacentral:tRNA from 1 species
GGAGGGAUCGCAUAGCCUGGUCUAGUGCGGCCGCCUGCUAAGCGGUUAAGGGGUGAAUAACCUCUUCAUGGGUUCAAAUCCCAUUCCCUCCGCCA